UCUUUCCAGAAACCCAUUCCCUCCCUCUGUCUCCUUCAAACUUCUUUCUACCAUAACUUUCAUUCUUAACUCCAAUUUUUUUGCCGUUUUCGCCUUUAGGAUCGCAGGAUCGAGCUCUACAAGAUAAGGUGAAGAAUCUACCUUGGGCUGAACCUACAGAGAACUCAGAGUAAUUUUGGGUUGAAGUGGAAGUUGGUUUUCUGUUUAAGGUACAUCUUUCAUAAGUGUAGCCAUCACCGGAGAAAAAUAAGCAAACUCAUGCUUGAGGUGUUGCCCAACCGAGAAAAGAAGAAGCAAUAACCAGCAGAUAUUGAAAAUAAAGCUUGGAGUGUCGCACCAAGCUUUAGAACAAAUGAAUAAGAAAAUGGGAUGCAGCCAAUAAAGAAGAGUCUGCAACACCAUAGAUGGAAUUGUAUAGACAGGGGCAGUUGGAAUAUAAUAAAUAAAUGUAUGGCUAUCUGAUUGUGGGCUGGCGGCAAGUGGUGGGAAUUUGUCUAUUCAUGGCAAAAUAUGAUGCAACAAGAGCAGUUCUCAUUCCUUUAAAUACAGCGUUGCUGCAGAUGUAAAAACACACCAAGCUCACAAUCUUCUCUUGAGCUCU